rnacentral:tRNA from 1 species
GCGCCGGUAGUGUAGUGGUAUCACAGGGGCUUGCCAAAGCCUCUAACUCGGGUUCGAGUCCCGGUCGGUGCA